GACGAACGCUUGCGGCGUGCCUAAGAAAUGCAAGUCGAACGGAUAUUCCAGCAAUGGGAUGUUAGUGGCGAACGGUCGCGUAACACGUAAGCAACCUGCCUUGAAGUUGGGGAUAACAGUCCGAAAGGUCUGCUAAUACCGGAUGUGGUCCACUGGUGGCAUCAUUAGUGGUCUAAAGAUUUAUCGCUUCAAGAUGGGCUUGCGGCCUAUCAGGUAGUUGGUGGGGUAAUGGCCUACCAAGCCGACGACGGGUAGCUGGUCUGAGAGGACGAUCAGCCGGAUUGGGACUGAGAUACGGCCCAGACUCCUACGGGGGGCAGCAAUUAGGAAUCUUGCACAAUGGGGGAAACCCUGAUGCAGCGACGCCGCGUGAAGGAUGAAGGGUUUCGGCCUGUAAACUUCUUUUGACAGGGAAGAAAAAAAUGACGGUACCUGUCGAAUAAGCCCCGGCUAACUACGUGCCAGCAGCCGCGGUAAUACGUAGGGGGCGAGCGUUGUCCGAAUUUACUGGGCGUAAAGCGCGCGUAGGCGGUUUCUUAAGUCUGGGGUGAAAGGUUCAACGCUCAACGUGAACAGUGCCUUGGAUACUGGGAGACUUGAGUCUGGGAGGGGGUAGUGGAAUUCCUGGUGUAGCGGUGAAA
rnacentral:rRNA from 1 species